AUUGAACGCUGGCGGCAGGCUUAACACAUGCAAGUCGAGCGGGGUGAUGGUGCUUGCACUAUCACUUAGCGGCGGACGGGUGAGUAAUGCUUAGGAAUCUGCCUAUUAGUGGGGGACAACAUCUCGAAAGGGAUGCUAAUACCGCAUACGUCCUACGGGAGAAAGCAGGGGAUCACUUGUGACCUUGCGCUAAUAGAUGAGCCUAAGUCGGAUUAGCUAGUUGGUGGGGUAAAGGCCUACCAAGGCGACGAUCUGUAGCGGGUCUGAGAGGAUGAUCCGCCACACUGGGACUGAGACACGGCCCAGACUCCUACGGGAGGCAGCAGUGGGGAAUAUUGGACAAUGGGGGGAACCCCGAUCCAGCCAUGCCGCGUGUGUGAAGAAGGCCUUCGGGUUGUAAAGCACUUUAAGUUGGGAGGAAAGGGUUGUGGCUAAUAUCCAUAAUCUAUGACGUUACCAACAGAAUAAGCACCGGCUAACUCCGUGCCAGCAGCCGCAGUAA
rnacentral:rRNA from 1 species